GGCCAGGUGCACCUGUUAUAGAUGGGAUAGACUUAAUGUUCCUCAUAGUAGCUAUGUUUUAGUUGUGUGACCAAAACAUUGCUGAUAACACAGGAAUGUUUUUGUUAUUGCUGAGUGAAGCCAAAGGCUUGCCUGCUGCUCACCCCGCCCCACCAGAGAGGAGGCUGGGAGUGCACAGGAACUGGGAGUGAACAGGAGCUGGGAGGGGACACAGCUGGGACAACUGACCCUGACUGACCCAAGGAACAUCCCACACCAUAUGAGGUCAUGCUCAUCAUACAAACCUGUGACCAAAUGUCCCUAAUUUUGCCCAUGGCUCAUUUGCUUUGGCAGCAUCUGGAGCAGCUAACUGGUUCUAUGGAUACUUGAAGUGAUUGAUCUUUUUUACAGAAGAGGCAUGGCAGGAGGGUACAAAGAGUAAAGCCCUGCACCUCUCCUGAUUUACAGCUGUGAAGCCAGUGCCCUCUGCAGCAGAAAGUGAAAAGAUGAAGAUCUACAAGCACCUUGUUAUCACCCAGGAGUGAUAUAUACAGCUGGCAGAGGUACAGAAAAGGUCUCCUCCCUCUCAUCCUGCCUUGCUUUGCCCUUUGACUGCAGUGAUGGACCAGAGAAUGCCAAUGAUGAGGCCUGGUGGUCUUACCCCCAGUGGAGCAGAUUCUGCAUGAGGGAAGGGUGGCUAUGGAGUGCCAUGAAAGUAAAAAAGGCUGCAGUCUUCAUCUUUGGAAAUCCCUGUGGAAGAUGGACAGAAGCCUGUGUGCAAUGGCAGCUGGUUAGAUCCUGCUUCAAAACUGGUCACGCUUUCCACAAGAAUUUGGAAUAGAUGCAACUGAUGAAUUCAGAGGUGCCCCAGAGGCUGCCGCAGGCAGCAGCGGAGGUCACAUUGGUGACCAUCAUGCCCCUCCACGGGGACAGACUGGUUCCCAGACAGGACACCUCACGGACACCAACAGGACAGAUAACAAAGGAGGCCAGCCUGGAGAGUGGGCAUUCACUGCCCCACAGUGGCACCGUCACACGGACACAAAGAUUGUCUGUGUCAGACUUGCCGCCUCUCCACGGCCCUCCACUGACAGUGACACCCCCAUGCUGGUUCAGGCCUGAAAUGCCAAAAUCAGCCUCGGCAAGGGUCAAGCUGCCCCCUCUGCCAGCAGCCCCAGCAGCCUCGGCGUCU
rnacentral:lncRNA from 12 species